UUGAUGACGCAAUGACGCAGAGACAACUCUCUGACUAGUCAGUGGUCUGCAGUGUUUACACGUCACAUUUUAGUAUCUUUUGACCCGUUUUGGAACCAAGGCCGAGUAAGUACUAAAAAAGUAGAACUGGGUACCAGAUUCCAGGUUCUUUUAUGUAAUGGAAAUGCUAAAAGGCUGAGUUGAGUCGAGCCGGUACCACGUAGUGGCAAUGUGCCGUAAGUCAGUAAUCACUGAGAUACAGAGAAGCUGCUGUGUGGAAGAGUCUACCUCUUAUCAUUACAUUUUACAUCAGUGUUCCAAAGUGGAAAAUAUUAUUGUACCAGUGGUUUCAAAUUAUUGUAGUUUGAAGAAAACUAUGGUGCACAAGUCAUGACGAAGUGAUUUACACUGGGUAACUGAGCUCAUGAGAUGAAUUCAAGGUCAUAUGAAAAAAUGUGCAUUUAAAGACAAUCCUGAUGAUGUUGGGAAAUUAUUUAAAAAGCUAUAUGUAAUGUAGAAUGAUUACAGCUACUAAUACUGAGUGUCACAUAAUAAUCAAAUUAUGCAUUUGGAAUUAUUGAUCCUGCAUCAUACAGUGAGUAAUGAUUAUAACAUAAUUUGAAUAGAAUAGAAUGGAACUGCGUUUACUGUCAUUGCAGAACACAAGUAGUGCAGUGCAAUGAGAUGUUGUUUGUAUGUCUCUAUAAAGUGCCCAGUAUAAAAAAAAAGAGAAAGAAAAAACAGUUCAUAGUUUACAAAUUUAAACAGAAAGGAACUAAGGUUAGUAAAUGUGCACUAUAGAUAGAAAUGAAAUAUAAACCUGAGUAUAAAUUUUUUUUUU